AAUGAUAAGUAUUCGACGUUAUUCCCUAAACGCCCGCAAUUUCCUGCUGCCUAACAUUAAUAAGCAAGGUCUUUUCGCGCUAAAACCAGCGCUAUCAAAGUCUGUAAACUUGAUUCCAUGACUUCGGCCAGUCUUGGGAAACAUACGCGGUUAGUUUUCUGAUACUCGCGCGUUCCACUUUCUCAUUAAAGAAAUUCUCAUUGUUGACCUAACGGUAUUAUUGAAUUAAGUCGGUAAGAUUACGGAUUUUAAAUGUAAGACAAAUAUACUGGGUGAUUCAUGCGACUGCAACACGUAAUAUCUUUUUUUUUGGUUGAAGUUAGAGAAGAUGCCAGGGAAAACAGAAAAGUGAAAGAAAAGUGAUUAAUUUAGGAGGUAUUUCAAUUUUAGUUCUGUAGAGCUUAUCGUAUCAAAAACAUAGAAAAUAUAAAUAGUAGAAUAUUGCGUUACGUCUUUCCUUCUUCUUUAUACAUAUAAUAAGUUCUACAAAAUUAAAGUUAAAAUGUCUUUUAAAUUAAUCAGUUUUCAACCAUGCUAUGCUAAUAUUUUCUUAUAUCGAACGAGGAAUCGAUUCGAUCUAUGCAACAGAAAAUGUAUGUUUCUAUUUUAAAAAAUUGCGCAACUGUAAAAUGCAUCAUCGCACUUGCGAAAAAUGUGUGAUCGUGAAUAUAUAGUCCAGUUUUAACCAUUCUUUUUUUUCUCCAACAUUUGUUUCUAACCUUAAUCACAAAAAAAAUGGCUUGUUUCAGUUAAGUGAAUCAUUCUCUUUACACAAAUGUUUUUUCAAUGUUUCUUGCUUGUCAUUCAAGAAAGGUUAGUUGAACUACAUUUUUUAUUAAUACAUAAUCGUGUAAGCUAUCAUUGUAACAUUAUUUAUUAUGUCGGAUAAUUACUGAAAUUAAUUCAGUGUUUUUAUUUGAUUGUAUUAAUGACACGUGUUAGUUGUUGAUUUAUUAUCAUUUGAAUUAUCAUUUAUAUUUGGAAUAUAAUGGUUUCUUUUAUUCAAAUGUUAUGUCGAUAAGACAUGUUCGAGAUAAUUUGAUCUUGGUAUUCAUUGUAUGAUUCAAAUGACACACAAAAAUACAUGCAAGGCAAACAGUCAAUAAUAAAGUCGCUCCAAUUACUCCUAUCAACCGAGUGGCAUACUUGGCAACUGUUCCUUUGAAAGGCAAAUAUUUGCCAAAACGUCGAUAGGCUUCUACGUUUAGUAUGCGCGCAUCUUCGUUGCUCACGUAACCAUACUUGUUUAUAGUUCGUAUUAAAAGAAUAAUAUCAUUUGUAUUGAUAUGGCAUUCCUUACUAUUGUACUGUACCUAUGUAUCGGUUUGUUUUUGUUGAUCAAUCCGUUCGGUUAUUAAAUCGGUCAACUUUUUCAUUUUUGAGGUUACUAAAAAUAUGUAGGUCCUUUUUUUAUUAAGAUAGAAACAUUAUUAGGUAUAUUCUACUUAAUUUUCGCGUACAAAUUUAAUUGUAAUCUAUGUCGUCUAUGUAUGGUACACAAAUGUAGGAGAUUAAGGUCGGUAAAUAGUGCAAUAGCCUUGAUUUUAAGGAUAUUACAAAAUAUUAUACGUUGUCCGGAUCAAACUGUGUUUUGUAUUGUGUUUGAACAAAAAUUAAUUAUUGGUCAGGAUAAUCUUUCACUUCUCCUAGAUUUACAUAUUUUUAAGAUAUAUAGAAGAUGAAAUUAGAUUGUGUUUUUAUGUAUUUCCAAAAUUCGCUAUUUUUUAAUACCAAAUAAAACUAAAAGCUUUUUGUUUGAGGUGAAAAUUCAAGAUAGAAGCAUAAUCAUUUACAUCUAACAUUCAUGUGUAUAUACCUAUUUAUUCUCAGUAUAUCUAUCUAUCUGCAGUAUUUAUGGUAUAUCUAUUGCAGUGCAUCAUAUGUCAACAAAUCUAGCGUCGACUCUUAUUCUAAUCAGUCUCCAUUUUUGCAUACACAGUAAACAUAUCCUGAUGUACCUAUGCUCUUUGGAUCUUCAUGCAGCAAGGUUACCACGAUUGUGCCGAGAAAAAUCUCUAUUGUUGUGGAAAGUCAGUGCCUUUGAAACGUUUAUCACAGAUAUUUGAUAGCGUCUGGAAGAAUCACUUGUUAGAGGAUUUUCUUUCAUUCUGUUAUUAUAUAUGAUUCACAUGUAUAUGACCCGAAAAGAUUUCGUUAUAUGCAAGAUAAUGGGAACUCACGACGAAGUUGUCAUUAAUUAGAGCAUCGAUAGAGAAAUGUUAACGACCCCGGUGGUUUUGUACGGAAACCACAGGAAAUUUGAAACGAAAUUCACGAAAAAUGGACGAAUUUGUGGAGAAGUCACUUGCUCUCCGAUUUCGAUGAUUUUGAAAUAUGUUAUAAAGCUCGACAACUUUCUCAACAUCUUUUUCCGAUAUAUAUAAGCCAAGGCCGACUUUAGUUUUUAACUUAUAUAGAAAAAUAUCUCGCUGCUCGACCCUACUUUUCAAGCUGCACUGGAGUAUUCGAGGAAACAACAUUUUUAACAAGCACGGAGCGUUUCUUCUAUAUCUGGUCCUUCAUACAAUUUCAAAUCGUGAAAGGAAUGAUUUCAUCAACCAACUCAUUCGUAUAACUCACCUGUCAGGUGGUAGAUAGAUACUCGAUGGCGUUUUACUUUAUCUUUUGCGAAAAUAUUGAUCUUUGUCUCCUUUAGAAAGAAAAAUAUCUACAAGCAUCGAAAAAGAAGGAUAAUAGUAGCAAUAAAAAGAUCAGUAACAAAAUUUUGUUGCGAAAGUUCC
rnacentral:lncRNA from 1 species